UACGUAGGUCCCGAGCGUUGUCCGGAUUUAUUGGGCGUAAAGCGAGCGCAGGUGGUUUAUUAAGUCUGGUGUAAAAGGCAGUGGCUCAACCAUUGUAUGCAUUGGAAACUGGUAGACUUGAGUGCAGGAGAGGAGAGUGGAAUUCCAUGUGUAGCGGUGAAAUGCGUAGAUAUAUGGAGGAACACCGGUGGCGAAAGCGGCUCUCUGGCCUGUAACUGACACUGAGGCUCGAAAGCGUGGGGAGCAAACAAG
rnacentral:rRNA from 1 species